AGAUUGAACGCUGGCGGCAGGCCUAACACAUGCAAGUCGAGCGGCAGCACGGGUACUUGUACCUGGUGGCGAGCGGCGGACGGGUGAGUAAUGCCUAGGAAUCUGCCUGGUAGUGGGGGAUAACGCUCGGAAACGGACGCUAAUACCGCAUACGUCCUACGGGAGAAAGCAGGGGACCUUCGGGCCUUGCGCUAUCAGAUGAGCCUAGGUCGGAUUAGCUAGUUGGUGGGUAAUGGCUCACCAAGGCGACGAUCCGUAACUGGUCUGAGAGGAUGAUCAGUCACACUGGAACUGAGACACGGUCCAGACUCCGUACGGGAGGCAGCAGUGGGGAAUAG
rnacentral:rRNA from 1 species